AGCAGGGUGGUCUAGUGGGCAGGACAUGGGCCUGGGAGUCAGAAGGACCUGGGAUCCAAUCCCAGCUCUGCCG
rnacentral:tRNA from 1 species